rnacentral:tRNA from 1 species
UUUAAUAUGGCAGAAAAGUGCAAUAGAUUUAAAUUCUAUUUAUAAAGAUCUUAAAAUCUUUUAUUAAAA